CCUACGGGAGGCAGCAGUGGGGAUCUGCGCAUGGGCGAAAGCUGACGCAGCGACGCGCGUGCGGAGAGCGCGGGUGUAAACCGCUUUCAGGAGGGACGAAGCACUCGGGUUAAUAGCCCAGAGGGGUGACGGUACCUCCAGAAGAAGCCCCGGCUAACUACGUGCCAGCAGCCGCGGUAAUACGUAGGGGGCAAGCGUUGUCCGGAUUUAUUGGGCGUAAAGAGCGUGUAGGCGGCCAGGCAGGUCCGCUGUGAAAACUCGAGGCUCAACCUCGAGAGGUCGGUGGAAACCGUUUGGCUAGAGUCCGGAAGAGGAGAGUGGAAUUCCCGGUGUAGCGGUGAAAUGCGCAGAUAUCGGGAAGAACACCCAUGGCGAAGGCAGCUCUCUGGGACGGUACUGACGCUGAGACGCGAAAGCGUGGGGAGCGAACAGGAUUAGAUACCCUGGUAGUCCACGCCGUAAACGAUGGGUGCUAGGUGUGGGCGGUGUCGACUCCGUCCGUGCCGAAGCUAACGCAUUAAGCACCCCGCCUGGGGAGUACGGCCGCAAGGCUAAAACUCAAAGGAAUUGACGGGGGCCCGCACAAGCGGCGGAGCAUGUGGCUUAAUUCGAGGCAACGCGAAGAACCUUACCUGGGCUUGACAUGUACCGAAAAGCCGUAGAGAUACGGUGUCCUUCGGGGCGGUACACAGGUGGUGCAUGGUUGUCGUCAGCUCGUGUCGUGAGAUGUUGGGUUAAGUCCCGCAACGAGCGCAACCCUUGUCCUAUGUUGCCAGCGCGUAAUGGCGGGGACUCGUAGGAGACUGCCGGGGUCAACUCGGAGGAAGGUGGGGAUGACGUCAAAUCAUCAUGCCCCUUACGUCCAGGGCUGCACACAUGCUACAAUGGCCGGUACAAAGGGCUGCUAUUCCGCGAGGAUGAGCGAAUCCCAAAAAGCCGGUCUCAGUUCGGAUUGGAGUCUGCAACUCGACUCCAUGAAGUCGGAGUCGCUAGUAAUCCCGGAUCAGCAACGCCGCGGUGAAUACGUUCCCGGG
rnacentral:rRNA from 1 species